ACGCUAGCUACAGGCUUAACACAUGCAAGUCGAGGGGAAACGGCAUUUAGUGCUUGCACUGAAUGGACGUCGACCGGCGCACGGGUGAGUAACGCGUAUCCAACCUUCCCAUAACUAAGGGAUAACCUGCCGAAAGGCAGACUAAUACUUUAUGUAAUUCUUAGAUGACAUCAGAAGAGAAUGAAAGAUUUAUCGGUUAUGGAUGGGGAUGCGUCUGAUUAGCUUGUUGGCGGGGUAACAGCCCACCAAGGCGACGAUCAGUAGGGGUUCUGAGAGGAAGGUCCCCCACAUUGGAACUGAGACACGGUCCAAACUCCUACGGGAGGCAGCAGUGAGGAAUAUUGGUCAAUGGGCGAGAGCCUGAACCAGCCAAGUAGCGUGCAGGAUGACGGCCCUAUGGGUUGUAAACUGCUUUUGUAUGGGGAUAAAGUCAAUCACGUGUGAUUGUUUGCAGGUACCAUACGAAUAAGGACCGGCUAAUUCCGUGCCAGCAGCCGCGGUAAUACGGAAGGUUCGGGCGUUAUCCGGAUUUAUUGGGUUUAAAGGGAGCGUAGGCCGGAGAUUAAGUGUGUUGUGAAAUGUAGACGCUCAACGUCUGACUUGCAGCGCAUACUGGUUUCCUUGAGUACGCACAACGUUGGCGGAAUUCGUCGUGUAGCGGUGAAAUGCUUAGAUAUGACGAAGAACUCCGAUUGCGAAGGCAGCUGACGGGAGCGCCACUGACGCUUAAGCUCGAAGGUGCGGGUAUCGAACAGGAUUAGAUACCCUGGUAGUCCGCACAGUAAACGAUGGAUGCCCGCUGUUGGUACCUAGUAUCAGCGGCUAAGCGAAAGCAUUAAGCAUCCCACCUGGGGAGUACGCCGGCAACGGUGAAACUCAAAGGAAUUGACGGGGGCCCGCACAAGCGGAG
rnacentral:rRNA from 1 species